AACGAACGCUGGCGGCAUGCCUAACACAUGCAAGUCGAGCGCACCGCCAGGGGAGCGGCUGACCGGUUGGUAACGCGUGGGGAUAUGCUCUUUGCUACGGAAUAGUCUCGUGAAACUGGGGGUAAUACCGUAUACGCCAGUUGGGGGAAAGUUUUAUUGGCCAAGGAUUAGCGCGCGUUGGAUUAGCUAGUUGGUGGGGUAAUGGCCUACCAAGCCGACGAUCCAUAGCUGGUUUGAGAGUAUGGUCAGCCACACUGGGACUGAGACACGGCCCAGACUCCUACGGGAGGCAGCAGUGGGGAAUCUUGCAAAAUGGGGGCAAUCCUGAAGUUGCCAUGCCGCGAGAGUGAUGUAGUCCUUAAAGUUGUAAAGCUCUUUCAGCUGGGAAGAUAAUGACGGUACCAGCAGAAGAAGCCCCGGCUAACUCCGUG
rnacentral:rRNA from 1 species